UACUCCUACGGGAGGCAGCAGUGGGGAAUUUUGGACAAUGGGCGGAAGCCUGAUCCAGCCAUGCCGCGUGAGUGAAGAAGGCCUUCGGGUUGUAAAGCUCUUUCGGUGGGGAAGAAAUUGCACGGGCUAAUAUCCUGUGUAGAUGACGGUACCCGACUAAGAAGCACCGGCUAACUACGUGCCAGCAGCCGCGGUAAUA
rnacentral:rRNA from 1 species